UACCCUUUGACACCUAAGGAAAAAGAGAGAGAGAGAGAGAGAUCAUGAUCCUUCUUUAUUUUAUUUUAUUUUUCUCUUUUAUUCACCAUUCAUUCACACCUUAUAUUCACACCACCUUCAUAUAAAUCUCCCUUUUCCCCCAAGGCUUUCUUUUUCUUUCAAAUCCGAUCAUGUCUUUCUAGUAACUUAAUUAGCUCAUCAACCUUUUAAUUCC
rnacentral:lncRNA from 1 species